AUUGAACGCUGGCGGCAGGCCUAACACAUGCAAGUCGAACGAGCGGCGGCCGGGUGAGUAAUGUCUGGGAAACUGCCUGAUGGAGGGGGAUAACUACUGGAAACGGUAGCUAAUACCGCAUACCAUCAGAUGUGCCCAGAUGUGAUUAGCUAGUAGGUGGGGUAACGGCUCACCUAGGCGACGAUCCCUACCUGGUCUGAGAGGAUGAACAGCCACACUGGAACGGAGACACGGUCCAGACUCCUACGGGAGGAAGCAGUGGGGAAUAUUGCACAAUGGGCGCAAGCCUGAGGCAGCCAUGCCGCGUGUGUGAAGAAGGCCUUCGGGUUGUAAAGUACUUUCAGCGAGGAGGCGUUACCCGCAGAAGAAGCACCGGCUAACUCCGUGCCAGCAGCCGCGGUAAUAC
rnacentral:rRNA from 1 species